GCCGGGGUGGUGGAACAGGCAGACACAGGGGACUUAAAAUCCCCCGGGAGAAAUCCCUUGCGGGUUCGAAUCCCGCCCCCGGCA
rnacentral:tRNA from 1 species